CGGCGCGGUGAAUACGUUCCCGGGCCUUGUACACACCGCCCGUCAAGCCAUGGAAGCUGGGGGUACCCGAAGUCGCCUUUAACAAGCGCCGAAGGUAAAACCGAGUGACUGGGGCU
rnacentral:rRNA from 1 species